AAUUUGGGAGGGACACCGUGCGUCACAGUGCGUGACUCAAGCAAAAUUGAAACAAGUCAGGCAAUUAACGAUCGAUACAGUGCGUGACUCGUGAGAAAGGGAAGCAACUCAAGCAAGCGAGAUAGGGUCGAAGCAAGCUAGACAGAUCAAGGGUUUCGCUGAUCAAUCCUUAGCCAAAAUUGAAGAUUCAACAAGAUAGAUGCUAGCUAGGUCUCUACCAAUUUGGUUUCCCCUCUCUUCCUUGGCCUUAGGCGGGAGAAAUAAAAAAUUAGCGCCAAAUUUUGUCGCAAUUAGCGAGAUCGAGAUUUGAUUGUGUGAAUAAUGUUUCGUAUGAGUAAAGGGAUUAUCAUUAAUCCCAAAAUUUUACCCCAAAUUUCAUCAUCGUAUCUUCAAAUCUGCACCUUCUGUACCAAUUGCAGAAGCCCUAACUUCGAAGAACCAAAGAUUUGUCAAUUUGUUCGAAGGUAUUUUUUCCAACAACUUUGUUCAUCCG
rnacentral:lncRNA from 1 species